AGUAUCGAUGCACUCAUGCCAAUGCUUACAAGCUGAUCUAGCUCUUGCCAAAGAAUCUGGAGAUAGGAAGGAGAAGAUGUUGGCAAGGAGAUCAAAAGGAAGACUACUCCACAUGGUUGAUGAAAAGAGAGAAGUUUUUUCAUCAAAAGGUUGGUUAAAAAAGGUUUGUCCGUACGUUCUAGCUGUGAUUUGUAAUUUUCCCUCUAAAUUACGAAGUACAGAACUUUAUUUGUUUUUAUGCAAAUUUGUCUUUGAGCUGCAAAAUGCAAUGGAGAGGACCCUACCAUGUUUUGUCUACUUCCUAGUUGAGGUUAAGAAAACGUGUACUAUAGCAAUUGUAUUAUUAAGCUUUCGUCCAAAAAUUUUCAUUGAUAUUUGUAUAUUGUCAUAGCCUUAACAUCAACUCGAUACGAGUGGUAAAAUCUACCAAACAUAAGGAAAAAAAAAAAUGAAAUGUCCGUAUAAAUAAUAGAAUUAAUUUGUUUAAAAUACUUAUUUACUGGUUAAAAUUUUUGUUUUGAUCGAGUUUUUCUAGAAUUAUUCUUCAAUAUUGAUAUUUCUACCUAAAUGUUUUCCAAGUUUUGACCUUGAUAUUUUUAUCGACAUCGAUAUUGUUGAAAUAAUUAAGACAUUUUAUACAUAUAUGUAAAAGUGGAUAUUAAUAGUUUAUCAAAUGUAUAUCAACUGUAUCAGAAUCGAGUGUGUAUCAAUAAAGUGUAUGUCAAGUGUGUUAGGGGUAUCAAGUAUGUCAUGUUGGUUUGACUUUUUUUUGUUGUCAUUUUUGCAAAAGUAAGUAUGUGUAUAAUGUGAGUUGAAUUUUUUAGACUUAUUUUGUCAUACAUGCAAGAAGUCUAUAUAUUAAUUAUUAUAUCUCAAAAUUCAAUUUGGUAUUUUUCUUAUUAUUUUGCCACUUUUUACGAUGAAACUUAAAAAAUUUCUUCUAGUUCGGAAUAAUUUUUUUUGGACCAAUUACAACUUGCUAAGAUAUUUAUCAAAAUAAAAACAUAAUUAUAAAUAAUCAAAUUUAAGACUAAUUAAAAGGUAAUAUGUGUUCAAAAAAAAAAUUGAAAACAAAAGUUCGACGAGUUGUUAUAAUACUAUGUGUUUUCAUGUUUACCGUUAAAUUAGAUUAAUUAUUCUAGUUUAACUAAAUAUUAUUAUUUAGACUAAAGUGCAAUUGAAUUCACAAAUAAACUUAAUUUUAAAAGAAUAUUAAAUAGAGAAAUUCUAUUCAUUCGUAAGGUUUAUAAAAUUUUAAUCGAGAGAGAACGAAAGAAUUCUUCCAACUCAACUUUUGAAACUUCAUCUGUACUUAGAAUAUCGUUUCUUCAAAUAGUAGCAUUAGUAAAUAAUUCAUCUCACUAUAUUUGGAAACGUUCAAAAGGUGGGGAGAAAUAUAUAUUUGAAAAAUUCUAUAGGGAUUGUAUACAAUAAAUUAGUAUUUAAAACAUUAUUAAAAAUGGUAUCAAACACAAAUUUGAAAAAAUAAAUAAAAAUGGAAUCUUUUGUUUCGAAACUUCUUCCUUGAAGUCGCUCACCAAAAUCCUGAUCCACGUUUGUUUUAUCAUCUCUUUUCCGGUGGGAAAAAGAAAAAUGGACGAUCUACAUUCUACGGGGAUCUUCACCAUAAUUCGGAUAAAUGCUGUCUGGAACCACGACACUCUGUCGAAGUGGACAAGUUACUAAAUUUAUGUGAGAAUGGUUGCUGUUGUUCUAACAACAAAGAUUCCUCCCACUUCCACUUGCUUCAGCUCCUACUUCCCCAUCCAUUUCUGAAUGAUUUCUUUUCCCAAGACCCUCAAAUACAAGAGAUUGUUUGUAUUUCCUCUUCUUCUUGCCAUUAUUGAUCUUUCUUCUUUUUAUCUCUUGGUCUUUUUUGCUUUGAUCUUGAGAGGAAGAUAAUUGGGUUUUGUUUUAGGGAUUGAUAUUCAGUUUUCCCUCCAUUUUGAGUGCCAGAGAGGGGGUUUCCUCCUGUUUUGUUUGCUGAUAUUGCAGGUAAUUUCAUUAUUCAAUUGACCCAAUAAUGAGUUUGUUGUUCUUGUGAUGGGAAAUUGUUGACUGGGUUUCUUAUUGUUGAAACCCAGAUGUUUUUGAGGAUUGACAAUGACUUUCCAGCUUUUAAGUAGUCAAUCUUGUAUAUCUGCUUAUGUAAAUACUCGUAGAAUUCAGCUACAAUGGAGGUUGAAUCCUGUUCAGGCUUUACCACCAUCAACUCUAUUGCACACUGAUGAAAGCGAACAUUUUCCAGAAUCUAAAAAGACUUCUGGGUUCAGCUCAGUAUUGAAAACGAAUAAAGAUUCAACUGGUAUUUUGCUAAGUCAAUCAAAUACAGUGGGUAUAUUAGGAGGAUCUUCUGUGAAUUCUACUGUAAACUUCUUGGGAAAAUUAGUUAAAUGGAGUACCAAAGAUGGAGAAUCUCAAUCUGGUCUCCCUUUUGUUCUUUGCUCUGAUCCAACUCUUAGUAACGAGCUCCAAGUGUUUGAUAAAAGUUCUCAUCCAGUUCUCAACUACAAGAGUGAGGAUUUAGGAUUGGACUCUGAGUUAGUAGUGGAGAGUCUGAAGAGAAAGAGAACUUUUCUCGAGAAUUCAGGUGCUCGUUGCAUUGUUAUGCCUUGUCACAUCUCUCAUUUAUGGUAUGAAGAUGUUUCAAAAGGGUGUCCUGUUACCUUCCUUCACAUGGCUGAUUGUGUUGCUAGAGAGCUCAAGGAAGCGAAGUUGAAGCCACUCGAAGCUGGGAGUCCCUUAAGGAUCGGAGUUCUUGCAACGAAUGCAAUUUUAAGUGCAGGGUAUUAUCAGGAGAAACUGCAGAAUGAAGGAUUUGAGGUGGUUCUUCCAGACAAAGCAACUAUGGAACAUACUGUAAUUCCUGCAAUUGAGGCUCUAAACAGAAAAGACAUCGAAGGGGCAAGGAAUUUACUAAGAAUUGCACUUCAAGUUCUUCUGGUGAGGGCUGUCAACUCUGUCAUCCUUGCCUCUGAUGAUAUAAAGGAUAUUUUGCCCUUGGACGAUCCCCUUCUUAAGAGAUGCAUUGACCCAAUGGACGCAUUAGCAAGGUCCACAAUCAAUUGGGCACAAUGUGCUGAAUAAGGUAUUUGGUCCUAAUCUUCUUCCUGUUACACUUUUCAAGAUCUCAAUUUGUUGUAAAUUUGUUUAUCCUCAGAACUUUGCAAAAAAAAAACCUAUCAGAAAAUAUGUUUAAAGUUAGCAUUGUUUUAAAUUGUCGAGUUAUGAAUCAUGUACGAGAUAGGUAGAAUUGCUUGAUCUACAUGACCUCUCUCGCAUUUCAUAGCAGAAGGAAGACCAUUAAUCAAGUAGAAUUAGAAAUAUGGAAAUUAUUUGAAUACUGGUAUACUGAUGUUCUCCUUGUUAGUAUCAGCCUGCAAUUUACUUCUCAUUUAGGUAAUUACUAUUCGUUUAUGAAAAGGUUAUGACCCUAUAUACAGUUAAAAAGGACAUUUUGGCUCUUCCAUUUUUCUCAAUCUUAUUGUCUUAUUGGUUUCCUCAUAAAGGAACUCUCUCCGGGCCUUCAGGUUUACCUUGGCAACCAGCUCUUUUAUGUCGGGUUGCGCUUGACAAUAAGGUGAUAUGGCUCAUCACAUUUUUCAUUUAGACAUCAUGAGUCCAUGGAAAAGAUAGGAACCAAGCUCAUCAAGUGAUGUAAAUAGAUCAGUGGGGAAAAAGUGUUUGAUGAUGAUCGUGAUAGUAGUCUUAGUAGAUGCACGUUCUGUUUCUUUCUUCCCCCCACCCCCUCCCAGAUUUUUUUUUUCCUAAUCCAAUAAAACGAUCACCUAAAAAAUGAUUAAAAAAAAAUUAAGAUGUGUGGCUGAGAUUUUAGUGAAAUGAAUUGCUGUUUACUUCAUCUUCUCACCCUAUUAAUAGAAUCAUUUCGAGUAACGUGGACUGUGAUUGACACAUAUCAUUAUAGACAGUUUGUUGAGAAUUAUUGUACUCAGAAAGUCGAAAGUUUGCAGUUGGGGUUCCCUCAUGAAGUGGAAUGUUUUGUGGUAAUGGUAAGAUGGAGGUAGGGUGCAACAUGACUUUAAUCGAACUGCACAGUUGUGGAGCAUCUUUUUCUCUUUUCCCAAUACUACGUGAGCACUCCAUGAUAGCUUAGACAUACCUUGAUUAAUCUUAUGAAACUACAUGUAUGACCUUGUGACAUUUGGAUACAAGAAAACUGAUUAGGUAGAUGGCUACAUUGGAUUAAAUUCAUUCUGUCUAAUAUCCACUAUUCCAUUAUCGUACCCUUAUGAGUAUGAUCUUUUGACCAUUAUGCCAAUCCAUGAUGAUAAAAUUGUGGUCAUCUUUGAUUUUUGUUCUGUGUUUCUUCUCCAGCAAUAUCAAAUGCACAUAUGUUUUUUUAUCACAUGAGCAACGUUUUACUGGAUGGAUCAGGCUAAUGCCGAAAACCAAGGUAUGUGAAGCCUGAAGUUGGAAAUCCUCAAAUUUGUGUUACUUAUGGUUGGGUUGUGAAGAAGGAUGAGUAACAAAAAUUGAAGUUUGUAUACUCCAUGU